rnacentral:rRNA from 1 species
CGCGUAGGCGGCCUGGUAAGUCUGGAGUGAAAGUCCUGCUUUUAAGGUGGGAAUUGCUUUGGAUACUGUCGGGCUUGAGUGCAGGAGAGGUAAGCGGAAUUCCCGGUGUAGCGGUGAAAUGCGUAGAGAUCGGGAGGAACACCAGUGGCGAAGGCGGCUUACUGGACUGUAACUGACGCUGAGGCGCGAAAGUGUGGGGAGCAAACA